GAUGAACGCUGGCGGCGUGCCUAAUACAUGCAAGUCGAGCGAAUAGACUAUGGGCUUGCUUCUCUAACCUUAGCGCCUGACGGGCGCGUAACACGUGGAUAACCUACCUAUAAGACUGGGAUAACCUCGGGAAACCCGACCUAAUACCGCAUCAUCUAUUCAACCUCAUGGUUCCAUAGUGAAUGACCGUUUUUUUGUCACAUCUCGAUGUCUCCGCGCCGCAUAAGCUAGUUGUUGAGGUAACGGCUUACCAAGGCAACGAUGCGUAUCCGACCUGUGAGAGUGAUCGGCCACACUGGAACUGAGACACGGUCCAGACUCCUACGGGAGGCAGCAGUAGGGAAUCUUCCGCAAUGGGCGAAAGCUUGACGGAGAAACGCCGCGUGAGUGAUGAAGGUCUUCGGAUCGUAAAACUCUGUUAUUAGGGAAGAACAAAUGUGUAAGUAACUUGGCACGUCUUGACGGUACCUAAUCAGAAAGCCACGGCUAACUACGUG
rnacentral:rRNA from 1 species